rnacentral:lncRNA from 1 species
UGAGAGUUGCAGAGAGCGUUUGGAGGAGGAGCGUUUCAAAAGCUUUGGUGGGGGUGGGGGUGGGAAUACGAAGGAGAGGAAUUUGAGUCUGUGUGUUUUGACUGAGGCAGACUGUAAAAGAGUAGGUUAACUUUAGUAAAUAGGUGUAAAAUGGUAAAAAUAAAAAAAAAAACAUAAAGAUUAAUUUUGUAUUUAAAAAAAAAUCCAAAAAAAUUGGGAGGUGGGGGUUGGAAUUGGGGGGUACAGGGAGUAACUCCCCCCAAAUAUUUGCAGCAGUCCAACGGCCCAGUGUGGCAGCAGCCUGGCUUCUCUUCAAUCAGCACUGCAGUUCAGUGAAGCCAAUCAGCCCAAUUUCAGGAUAGCGGCCCAAUUACCAAAGCAUUUUAGCCCAAAUUCUUCUUGGGAGUUACUCCCUGUACCUCCCCAAUUCCAACCCCCACCCCCCAAUUUUUUUGGAUUUUUUUUUAAAUACAAAAUUAAUCUUUAUGUUUUUUUUAUUUUUACCGUUUUACACCUAUUUACUAAAGUUAACCUACUCUUUUACAGUCUGCCUCA